rnacentral:rRNA from 1 species
GACGAACGCUGGCGGCGUGCCUAAUACAUGCAAGUCGAACGCUGUGGGGACGGGUGAGUAACACGUGGGUCACCUCCCAUCAGAGGGGAUAACACUUGGAAACUGGUGCUAAACCGAUCUUGAUGGAUGUACCCGCGGUGCAUUAGUUAGUUGGUGAGGUAACGGCCAACCAAGGCCACGAUGCAUAGCCGACCGGGGAGGGGGAUCGGCCACACUGGAACUGUGAAACGGCCCGAACUCCUACGGAAGGAGGAAGAAGGGAAUCUUGGGCAAUGGGCGAAAGUCUGACCGGGAAAGGCGGCGUAAGGGAAGAAGGUUUUCGGAUCGUAAGACUCGGUUGUUAGAGAGGCGGUAUCUAACCAGAAAGCCACGGCUAACUACGUGCCAGCAGCCGCGGUAAUAC